rnacentral:rRNA from 1 species
CGGUAACCCCAGCGCCACAAGUCGCAAUCGUGUUUAUUGGGUCUAAAGCAUCCGUAGCCGGUUUAGCAAAUUUUCUGUGAAAUUGUUCAGCUCAACUGAACAACGUGCAGGAAACACUACUAAACUUGGAACCGGGAGAGGUAUGAGGUAUUCUGGGGGGAGCGGUAAAAUGUUCUGAUCCUCGGAGGACCGCCAAUGGCGAAGGCAUCAUACCAGAACGGAUUCGACGGUGAGGGAUGAAAGCUAGGGGAGCGAUCCGGAUUAGAUACCCGAGUAGUCCUAGCCGUAAACGCUGCCAGUCAGAUGUUGCAUAUUCUACGGGAAUGUGCAGUGUCGAACCGAAGGGGUUAAACUGGCCACCUGGGAAGUACGGUCGCAAGGCUGAAACUUAAAGAAAUUGGCGGGGGAGCACUACAAGGGGUGCGGCGUGCGGUUUAAUCGAAUUCAACGUCGAGAACCUCACCAGGGGCGACGGCACAAUGAAGGUCAGUCUGAAGGGCUUACCUGAGGAGCCGAGAGGUGUUGUAUGGUCACCGUCAGCUCGUGCCGUAAGGUGUCCUGUUAAGUCAGGUAACGAGCGAGACCUGUGCUCUUAGUUGCUAUCGUGACUUUCGAGUUGAGCGUGCACACUAAGAGGACUGCCUUGGAAACAAGGAGGAAGGUGCAGGCUACGGUAGAUCUGUAUGGCCCGAAUCUCCUGGGCUACACGCGCGCAACAAUGGUAGAGACAAUGGGAUGCGACUCCGAAAGGAGAAGCUAAUCUCCAAACUCUAUCUUAGUUCAGAUUGAGGCUUGCAACUCAGCCUCAUGACGCUGGAAUCCCUAGUAAUCAGACGUUAUCAUCGUCCGGUGAAUAUGUCCCUGCUCC